CUGGGUUGUUUCAGCCCAGCGCUGAGUUACGACCUUUGCGCCUUUAAGAACUUUCUAAAGUUUAUUAAAUCGCUCCCUUAACUGUCAUUUUGAAAGGACAACGGGGCAAAGCCACUGGUUUCAACUGUUUUAAGAAAAGCACAUGGAUACAUUCCUGAGAGAAAAAUCCAUCGAGUGCAGUCUUAUCGAGACGUUUAACGGUUGGAACAAAUAUGGUGGAAUUCUUUAACCGGGCAGAGUCCACAAAACCCCAUCUAUUUGUCAUGGCAAUUUGAAAUUGCCAGCAGAUCUCCCAGGCAUUGAUCAUAAUCAAUGGACAGACCGAAGCCACCCGGAUCCAGUCCGUAUCCAGAUCAGAUGGUGGAUCAGCACCUAGCGAUGACCUCGACAGCUCUGAAUGUCAGCGAAGACCACGUCACCUCAGCAGCCAUCGGCACGAGGUCACGGGAACCAGAUGAGUCCUCUACACAAUCUGACUCUGCUGCAGUUGGAAUUGGACUGCUGGUUCGUCUGGCCAGAGCAGAACUGGCCCCUCGACUGAGCCUGGUUUCUCCCAAGUUUUUUUUUCACCAUUUUUGUCACCGAUGGAGUUUUGGUUCCUUGCCGCUGUCGCCUCUGGCUUGCUUAGAUGGGGACACUUAAUUUCCAGCGAUAUCUUCAGCUUGAAAGCACAGAUACUAUUUGAACUGAACUGAGCUGGACCAUAAAUCACUGAAUCAAUGAUGAACUGACUUUAACUGAAAAUUGAGUGUUUACUGUUGUCCUUUUGCAUUUACACACUAUUUUCCGAUUUAAUACUGUAAAGCUGCUUUGACAUUGUAUUUUUUUAAAUAUGACAGGCUCAUUACUCAUAAUACAUGGAAAAUACAGUUUCAAAUGGACUUUGCUUUUCCAUUUGUAAUUUGGCAGUCACUGUGCAUUUGUGAAAACGCAAACAGUAAUGCAAGAUUUGCAAUUGUGUUUGGAUUAUGUCACAAUUUGUCACAUGUGGAAAACACAAUUGAAAAUAUAAUUUGCAAUUCCUUUUGAAAAUUGCCUGGAAUAACGACAUGUGGGUGAGUAAUUAAUGACAGAAUUGUCAUUUGUAGGUGAACUAUACCUUUAACUACACUAAGUAGUGCGCAUCUACCUAGGAGUCUUUACUUGAUAUAAAUUUUAGGACAUCUUUAAAUGAUUUUGCAUUCUCUUUCUUUUUAAAUUAUAAUUGUCAAUGUCAUUUCACUGUGUAUUUAAAUAGUUAAACAUGUCAAAAUGUAAUAGUUAAACAGUUAAACGGACACAUGUCAUUCAGAACUAAUUUUCUUAUUUAUUGCAACUGUAUUUCUAUGAUUUUUGCAUUUUCUGGACAAAAAGAAAGAAAGAAAAUUGCAUGUUUGUCAUUGCAAAUUUGAACACAUUUGUGAACAUCAAUUAGCAUUAAAAAUAAUUUUUAACAGUCUAAAUAACCUGUAUUCUUCAUUAUUUAUUAAUCCAUGAUUGUCUUGUUAAGCAUAGGCAAUUAUGAGAAUAACCCAGCAAGAAUAACCCAGAAACACAAAAAUGCAAACACAUAAAUGGUAAAAAUGACUAUAUCUUGGAUUUUCCCAACAACCCAGCCUGCUGGGUUAAAAUGUGUAAACCAGCAUGCUGGGUUACUUUAACCCAACAUGUGUUCUGUCCAAUAUUUACCCAGCGCUGGGUUGCCAAUUGGGUUAUUUUUAACCCAGCCAUUUUUAGACAUGUGUCAAAGGUCAUAGAUGUUUUCAAAGAACUUGUUCAUGUCUACUAGACACAUAUAAAAAGAAAUCCCAGGUUCCCAUUACUUCUCUUUCUUUGCACUGAGCAAUUUACUUACACAAACCUGUUUACAUUUUUGCACAACAGGGCAGCUCACCUCUUCUAAAUUUGCAAAAUGUACAUUUAUUAUUAGAUUUAUUUGCCUCUCUGUGCCCACAUACUGUAUUUUGA